AGAGCGAACGCUGGCGGCAGGCUUAACACAUGCAAGUCGAGCGCCCCGCAAGGGGAGCGGCAGACGGGAGAGUAACACGUGGGAACGUACCUUUCGGUUCGGAACAACCCAGGGAAACUUGGGCUAAUACCGGAUACGUCCGUAAGGAGAAAGAUUUAUCGCCGAAAGAUCGGCCCGCGUCUGAUUAGCUAGUUGGUGAGGUAACGGCUCACCAAGGCGACGAUCAGUAGCUGGUCUGAGAGGAUGAUCAGCCUCACUGGGACUGAGACACGGCCCAGACUCCUACGGGAGGCAGCAGUGGGGAAUAUUGGACAAUGGGCGCAAGCCUGAUCCAGCCAUGCCGCGUGGGUGAUGAAGGCCCUAGGGGUUGUAAAGCCCUUUCGGCGGGGAAGAUAAUGACGGUACCGCAGAAGAAGCCCCGGCUAACUUCGUGCCAGCAGCCGC
rnacentral:rRNA from 1 species